rnacentral:ncRNA from 2 species
GAAUUGCGAUAAGUAAUGUGAAUUGCAGAAUUCAGUGAAUCAUCGAAUCUUUGAACGCAGCUUGCGCUCUCUGGUAUUCCGGAGAGCAUGCCUGUUUCAGUGUCAUGAAAUCUCAACCACUAGGGUUUCCUAAUGGAUUGGAUUUGGGCGUCUGCGAUUUCUGAUCGCUCGCCUUAAAAGAGUUAGCAAGUUUGACAUUAAUGUCUGGUGUAAUAAGUUUCACUGGGUCCAUUGUGUUGAAGCGUGCUUCUAAUCGUCCGCAAGGACAAUUACUUUGACUCUGGCCUGAAAUCAGGUAGGACUACCCGCUGAACUUAA